CAUUUUUAAUCAUUGACUAACAGCCGUAUUCAUAAAAAAUCCUUAAAUGAGGAAUGAUCAGCUUAUUAGCUAAUCCACUGUUUAGGCUUAAUAAGCCGUUGAUAAGAACCAUGAUUUAUAAACGUUUAUUAGGGGUUUCUUAACUAAUAAGCAGAUUAGACCCGUUAUGUUGGCAUCUUGGCACAUCAUAGACAAAAAUAUGGCUGAACAUUAAUUAAAAAAAAAAGUUUGACAGCAGCACUAGCGGUAAAUCAUAAAAUCCUGAACAAUACGAUGCACAAUUUUGACCAGUUUUCUGGGUUAUUAUAUAUUAAAAUAGCCUCUGCAUCACAAAAACAAAUAAAUAAUAUUGCACGGCCGGAAGUUUUACGAAACUCGUUUCAAUAUAUUGUGGAAUGAGGGAAAGAGGGCAGUUGCACAUUUCAAGUCAAGAAUUCUGCCUGCGCGCCAUCGCCACCGUAAUACCACGGAUUCCAACACAUUUUGUUCUGGUGGCGAAACACAAACGAUAUUGACACUAUUCAUAUCAAAUGAUCGGUGAAGAUAAAUCAGGUGAGCAAGAUUUGGUUAUUCAUUUCUUAACGUAAAAUGUUGUAGUAUUUUUAUGAACAUACCUCGACACCCAAAAAAUUAUGGCCUCUUCAUUUUUAAUUUGACGUACUAUCGGUGUUUUUUAGAAGAGCAGAGCUAACCAAGCUAGUUAGGAGCUGUUUAUAAUUAGAAUUAGUGAAUAACAUACUUAACCAACCACACGAUGGAACCAAUUUAUCAGUGAAGUGGUGAUUUAUCUUAAAAACCUUUUUUGUUCGCCUAGGGCGCAGAGUUAAAGAUAAGCGCUUAUAUAUGCAACUUGACAAUGACAAUGUUUGCAGUGAAACAUCUCAGCCAAUAGCCGCAUUAAAAGGCAAACUGCACAAUUCAUAAUGAGGCAGAAAUGUCCAUUAUUCACAGGAGUGUCGCUGUUGGUUGUGAGUAUUCCAUCAUCAGCUAUUUGUCCGGAGCUGGCUACACAAUCCGGAGGCCACACUCUUCUGGCAUCUAACCGGCCUGCACACCGCCAUCAAAUGAAGUUGGUUGUACUGAAAUAAAGAAAAAAUAUUAACUAGUUUAAUGAUUGUCAAAUGUAAUAAAAUUGUUUUAUUUAAGUGGGUUGUUUGAUUUCCCUAAAUUAACACAUGAAAUAUGUUGAUAUGUUAUAAUAAAAAUCUCAGUUAAAAACUCA